rnacentral:lncRNA from 1 species
UUCCUGUUUGUAGCAUGACUAACACUGAUAGCGUAGAACCUAUCACUCCAGCACAGCUACUCACAUGUAAAUCCAAGGUCCUUCUUCCUCCACCUGGUGUCUUCUGCCGUGAAGACGUCUACGCCCGACGAAGAUGGCGGCGCGUACAACAUCUGGCGGACGUAUUCUGGUCGCGAUGGCAGCACGAGUACGUCCCCACUAUGCAGGAGCGACGGAGAUGGAUCGACAAGGAGCCUAACAUGAAGGUCGACGACCUCGUCGCCGUGGCCGAUGACAGUCUUCCGCGCUCUCAGUGGCAUCUGGGACGUAUAGUGACCACGUACCCGAGUGCGGAUGACUUGGUGCGUAAGGUGCGAGUGCGGAUCGGCGCAGCCGAAUACGACAGGCCAGUGCAUCGUCUGGUCAUGAUCAUGAGGGCGCACGACGGAGAUUCCCGGUCGGGGAGCCUCUGAACGCUUAGUGAGCGGACGACGAACUAGAGGUGCUUGGCGUAGGAUUAGCGGUCCACAUGCCGUAAAAGGGCAGCAGUGAGAAGUGUAAGAUGCAUUGAGACCGUAGUCUGUAAGGACUUGAUCCUUGGAACAACUUCUGUUUCAUGGUCACAUGCUUGUUCGUGUAAUCGACGUAUCUGUUAGUGUUAUCCGAAGAGAAAAUUCUGUUGAAUUUUGGGGAGCCAUGUUCCCGCUGGCAUCAAUUUACUGCAGUGGUUUAGGUGACAACCAGCGUGGCCCGCGUGGGCCCUGUUUUUUGCCGCAUCUGCGCAAGAAAUGUUAUUGUUUUGAACGAAAAGCGAGCCGAGGGACAUGGGACGGAGUGAGUAAUGUAUUUUCUUUAAUAUUUUGUUUUUUACGUGGCAUUGCGGAACUGGAUGAAUAUACUGAAUGAAAAGGAAAA